rnacentral:sRNA from 1 species
UUCUUUUUUUCUUUUUUUUUUUUUUGAGGAGAGAUACUCCUCCACUUUUUUUAAUCUAUAUAUUUAAGGUACACAACAUGAUGUUAUGGGAUAGUCAAAAAGUCACUAUAGUGAAGCAAAUUAACAGAGCCAUCAUCUCACACAGUUAUCCAUUUUUUUUUGUUUAUUGUGGCAAGAGAAGCUAAAAUCUACUCAUUUAGUAUGAAUCCCAUAUGUAAUAAAUUUUAUUGCCCCUCCACCUUUUAAUACCCUGGGACUCAUACUUCUUUCCUUCCCAAAGGCUGCUGAUCCCCACCUUCCCACCUCAUUCUGGCAGCUAUCCACCUCUGUUCUCUCUCCAGCCCUAUCCCAUAUUAGCUCAGGAUGAGCAAUUCAGGGAAGUGCCUUAGAAUUCCAGACAAGUGAGAGGAGCGGAGCUGCCCAACACUUGUAAGAGGUGGUGCUAAACAGGAGGGCAGAAGGCACCAUUCCUUCGGGGCAUGGGGCCCCAGGUAUCCGUGGGCAGGGUCCAAAGCCACCGAUCCCUACUGUCCUCAACUGCGGGGUUGCCUCCGCCGCCUUUGCUCCCAGACGCCACUCCGAGGCACAAGGACCCUAAGUCGCUUGGAACUGCCGGCCGCUAGAUGACACCGACUGCGCCGAGGCAGAGCCCCGGGAGUCUC